GGCGGCUGGGCCUGGCGGGAAGAGGCACCCGUGACUCACCAUGUCUUUGAUCUGGCAGUGGCCGUAGCUGAAGACGAUGGCGUUGGGGGGGUUGCCCACAGGCAGCAUCACUGCGAAGGAGAUGCACAUGUUGCUAUUUGAAACAAUUUUUCAAACAGUGUCUGAACACCCAUGAUGAAGGCUGUGAAAAGGCCCAGAGGCAAGAGGACAGCGUGGAAGCUGCUCUCGGGUCCAGGCCUUCAGACAUGUGGGAGCUCUGCUCACUCACCAGGCUGCACAGGAUGGGCAGGAAGAUGGUGAUGGUGGCUGGGUUGCUCACAAACUCUGUGACAAUGGACACCAGGAUGCAGGCCAGCAGGGUGACAGCCCACGGUGGGAGGCUGCUCAGGGACAACAUCUGGUGCCCAAUCCACGUGGAGAGGCCGGAGCUCUGCGGGCCAAGGGAUGCAGUCAGAAGGAGGAACAUUUCCAGUGGAACUCCUGGGCUCCAGAAGGUCAGGGAUGGCAGGGGCUGGAGGAACCACAGGAGUCACCUAAUUCCUGUUUUUUCAGGCAGACCGGACCUGGCGGCAUUCCUCCUUUAUACGAUUAGAACAUUUUUGUAGCUCAGAAAAUCCUUUUUUUUUUUUAUGAUGGUACAACAUUUAGUCUUAGGGUUUCCUGGUAGUUGCUGUCACAGGAAUGGAGAGCCACCCACCCUGAUUGCCAUAAUCCUUAGGACUUUGCCAGAUGGCUUGGCAGGGGUUGAAGAUCUUUGGGGCAAUCAGCUCCUCAACUUCAAACUCAUUACUCUCUGACACUCGCCCUCAAGUGUAAUCCUUCUACUUUUGAAAGAUUUCUCUCAUCACCUGAGGAAGGGAAAAAACUAGGCAUAUCUUUAGAUAGUAACCUUCCCUGUAUUUUGAGGGGGAGUGAGUGGGCAGAGCUGAGCCAUUAGACGUUUUACAUGAGUAAUGAAGGAAAAGAGAUUACAAGUCUCUCCUCACUGGUCUGAAAGCAUAGGCAUUCAGUGCAACCUGUUGUGGGUUCAAAUCCCAUCAAGGCUGACAUCAGGAUCUACGAUCUGCCAGUGCUUUUUGAUGACACAGAUAUGAAAGCAUAUUGCCACUCUUGCACCUUUUCCAUUAGCAACAUUAAUACAUGUCCACUCCAGGAAAUGCAUUUUCCCAUUUGGAAUAAUUCUUAGGGAUGGAAGCUGUUCAUUUGGCAAUGGUGAGGCCUCUCCCCCUUUUCUCCCAGAAUGAAGAGCACUGUCUAAUUUUUGUACUAAGAACUGCAGGUUGCCAUGUGCAAUCUCCCGCCCUCCCUUCCUCUUCUCCCUUCUGUGGUUGCCAUGCUCUGAUUUUUCCUAUUUACCCUGGAGACUGUAAAUGCGAUAAAGCAAUGAGGAGUAGGGCAGAAAGCAAGGUAAGACAUUUUAUGAUUCCCCAAGCUGUGAGUCCUAUUCACAUUUCAGUUAAAGACAGCCUCUCUCUAUUGUCAGCAGGCUACUUUCCCUCCUCUUCUCCAAGUACAACGAAAGCUCAUUUGAUCUUCACAGCACCCUGGCCACCUCGUGGCAAGCUCAUAGACACCUUAUGACUAGAGCCUUCAGAAUUCCUUCUGUUAUAGCCUUUAUUUAUUUAUUUAUUUAUUUAUUUAUUUAUUCAUUUAUUUAUUUUUACCUUGGAGCACUUUCCUUUAUUUUUCCCCUCGACUGACUGAGUAUUGCAAAUCCAACAUGUGGGGACUAAUCGUUUCAUGUUGGUACAGAGCCUUGAGGCCCACAGGAGCUCUGUAAUUGUUAUCUUUUGUAACACAUUAAGCCCUGCUCUCUGGGUAAAAAUAGGAGGAGAGCAGUUAGCUGAGUGGAAAUCAUACAUUUUUAUAAAGAAAUAGCUUUACUUUUCACGUUAUCCAAAUAGCACUUGUAAGUAAAGGGAAAUAAUUUGAUGGCAUUUAUUUUCCUCCAGAACUUCACACUGUAAUUUGAGAUAAAUUGACAAUUUAGACUGCAGUUAGGAAAAAACAAACAAACAAACAAACAAAAAAAAACACACAACAAAGGAAGUCUUGUUUAAAUCCUUGGUAUGAAAAUAUUUUAUACUGUAUUUUCCUCACUAAUGUCAAGACUGAAAUUAUUUCAUACUCAGUAAGAAUCACAUAUAUUGUGCCUGAAUGAUACUAUUGAUAUUAAACUAGUAGAGUCAGAGUUUUACAGAAAUAUCUACUAACUGUCAUACACACAUAAUUUUGGUUAAAAAGAAAAAGAUUUUGCCAGGAUAGGCUCAGUGACCAAAACUAAAAAUUGAAAUUCUGUAAAGAUAAGUAUGACAUCUGAAUUUGGAAUUAGAACUAUUGACAGCAUUGAUUGGAGACUUAAAGCUUAAUAGUAGCUGAUAAUUAAAAGAAAGAGGAGUUUUAGUUUACUGCAAUCCUAUCUAAUAAAAGGGUAAUAUGCAAAUUAACUGUCACUCUGUCACAAAUAUGGCAGAGCCCAUAGCCACAAGAUGGCGGCACCCAGUCCUUUCAGCCCUGCUGGAGUCCCCUCAGUCCCGAGGGAGGCGGUGGCUGCUGAGAGCGGGCUGCGCGGCUGGUGUGGAACACUUGCCUCAUCAACGUGGAGGGCCUCUGGGCAGCGGGCACGGAGCAGCAGGGUGGAGGGGUGGGUGCUUGUGUCAUUGCCCCGGAAAUGAGGCAAGUGUUCCACGCCCAGCUGUGGGUGGGCCUCUGGGACAUGGAGAGACUUCACUGGCUCUCCUGUCAACAUUUAUAUUUAAUUGACAGGAGAGCCAGUGAAGCCUUGUAAAAGCUUCCAUACAAAUACAGGAUGGUGGUUGGGUCAGACGUGAGAGAUAGGGCUUGGGUAAUAUAAUUGAGUUAUUCUCGCCACCUCUGGAACAUGUUUGAAUAUGGCCAAG